GGGGAUAUAGCUCAGUGGCACAGUGCCUCCCUAGCAAAUGGGAGACCCUGGGUUAAAUUCCUAGUACCCCUC
rnacentral:tRNA from 1 species